UCGGAUCCGGUAACGAAAUUUGUGCUAGCAAUAAUUUAGCAUAUUAUAUGUAUGCACGUACGGCUUUUAGCAGUCGCUCUCAAACAGAUGUGUGUUUAAAAUAAAACCAAAUUACGUGGGUUUUUGAAAGUAUGAUUGUCAGUUUGGAUUACUUCUGUCCAGAUUUCCAAAUUCUUUAAACAUCUAUUUAUAAUCUUUCGACGAGGUGCUUGUAUGAUAAGGAUCACUCUUCCUUACAGGUUCGUUGGUUCAACUUAUUUAAGGGAACUUUUAAGUUAAAAAAUCC